CUGUCAGUAUCGGUCUUUCAUACGAGUUGUGUUCAGCCUAAUUUUUUUCCUAAAAAAAGUUGGAUACCAACAGUUUAUUUGACACUGCAGCAUAAAUAUGUUGCUGGCAAAACAGCAGUCAAAGCAGGCAGUGACCUUGGCUACCACUAGCUAGCUAUCAGAGGGCUCCAAAAGAGAGGGUUGCGAAAAUGUUAACGACAUGGAAAUUGUGUGUGAUUGCCUAUAGCAGGAUGAAGAUCCUCCUUUGCCUGGGAAGAAACCAUUUCCUUUCACCAAGCUUUUUAAGUGGGAGUAAUAUUAAUUCACCUCUGCAAAGUGCUAUGAAUUCUUUAGAUGGAAGAAGUGCUGUGUAUGUUGAACCCUGAACUCAAUUUUGGCAGAUUCCUCCAGCAAGAAAAAAACAUUGAAUUUCAAGAGCAGACAGUGAGACCAUACACCCUGCCUAAUUACCCCUAGGAAACAGAGCUCAGCCUUGGAGUAACAUAUAAUGAAUACUUAUCAGAAAAUGUACCUAGUAAACUCACCAGAGUUCGAAAGAACUGAAUAUAUAUAAGAAAUGAGUAAUUAAUAUUUUUAUUGUUGGUGGCUGCAACCAGGAUCAUGUUCAAAUGAGAUAUCAGCAGUUGUGCUAAAUUUUCCAUACUUUUUUACUACAAAUAGCAAGCUACUCUUGUAUCCUUUGGAUUUUUCUUUUUCUGGAAAAAUAUUUAGAUCUAAACCGCAUUAAACUUUCUUUUGGUUUGAAAUGCCUCUACUGAUAUUAGUUAUUGUUUUGGUCAGUCAUCAGUGUGAAGGACCUAGAAAUGUAGGAAUAUAAAGAAACUUUAGAAAGCAAAAGGUGUGCAGCAAUGAUCUGAAAACCAAAUUAACAAUUUUACAGGAGUACCAUUAACUUAAUCAUAAAAAUAUUAUUUAAAUUGGAAAAUAAAAAAAAAAAAACAAAACAAACCAAAAACAAACAAAAAAAGUUCCUAAAAUUCUGGGAAAAUAAAGUAUCUUUCUUGGUAGAUUGGUUUACUUGGUGAAAGACCUUUGCCUACCUGGCAUAGCUGCUUUGCAAAGUUCAUAAUAGACUUUCAGACAAUAGGACAGAUUUUCUAAUAUGAAGAGUUAAUUUUAACAAGGAAUUGACUAUUUUUCUAACUUUCGUUUCAUUCCAUAAAUUUAGAAACUAGAAAAUUCUAAAAGUUCUGUUCAUAUAAGAUUGCAAGACUGUGAGUUGUAGGGCUCCAUUCUGUG
rnacentral:lncRNA from 1 species